rnacentral:rRNA from 1 species
GAUGAACGCUAGCUACAGGCUUAACACAUGCAAGUCGAGGGGCAGCACAAGGCAGCAAUGCUGAGGUGGCGACCGGCGCACGGGUGCGUAACGCGUAUCCAACCUUCCCGUUACUCAUGGAUAGCCUUCCGAAAGGGAGAUUAAUACAUGCUGGUGUUGAAAUUCCGCCUGUUAUUUCAACUAAAGAUUUAUCGGUAACGGAUGGGGAUGCGUGACAUUAGAUAGAUGGCGGGGUAACGGCCCACCAUGUCUACGAUGUCUAGGGGUUCUGAGAGGAAGGUCCCCCACACUGGAACUGAGACACGGUCCAGACUCCUACGGGAGGCAGCAGUGAGGAAUAUUGGUCAAUGGCCGGAAGGCUGAACCAGCCAAGUAGCGUGAAGGAUGAAGGUUCUAUGGAUUGUAAACUUCUUUUAUACGGGAAUAAAACCUCCCACGUGUGGGAGCUUGUAUGUACCGUAUGAAUAAGCAUCGGCUAACUCCGUGCCAGCCGCCGCAGUAAUAC